rnacentral:rRNA from 1 species
GAUAAACGCUGGCGGCGUGCCUAAUACAUGCAAGUCGAGCGAACGGACGAGAAGCUUGCUUCUCUGAUGUUAGCGGCGGACGGGUGAGUAACACGUGGAUAACCUACCUAUAAGACUGGGAUAACUUCGGGAAACCGGAGCUAAUACCGGAUAAUAUUUUGAACCGCAUGGUUCAAAAGUGAAAGACGGUCUUGCUGUCACUUAUAGAUGGAUCCGCGCUGCAUUAGCUAGUUGGUAAGGUAACGGCUUACCAAGGCAACGAUGCAUAGCCGACCUGAGAGGGUGAUCGGCCACACUGGAACUGAGACACGGUCCAGACUCCUACGGGAGGCAGCAGUAGGGAAUCUUCCGCAAUGGGCGAAAGCCUGACGGAGCAACGCCGCGUGAGUGAUGAAGGUCUUCGGAUCGUAAAACUCUGUUAUUAGGGAAGAACAUAUGUGUAAGUAACUGUGCACAUCUUGACGGUACCUAAUCAGAAAGCCACGGCUAACUACGUGCCAGCAGCCGCGGUAAUACGUAGGUGGCAAGCGUUAUCCGGAAUUAUUGGGCGUAAAGCGCGCGUAGGCGGUUUUUUAAGUCUGAUGUGAAAGCCCACGGCUCAACCGUGGAGGGUCAUUGGAAACUGGAAAACUUGAGUGCAGAAGAGGAAAGUGGAAUUCCAUGUGUAGCGGUGAAAUGCGCAGAGAUAUGGAGGAACACCAGUGGCGAAGGCGACUUUCUGGUCUGUAACUGACGCUGAUGUGCGAAAGCGUGGGGAUCAAACAGGAUUAGAUACCCUGGUAGUCCACGCCGUAAACGAUGAGUGCUAAGUGUUAGGGGGUUUCCGCCCCUUAGUGCUGCAGCUAACGCAUUAAGCACUCCGCCUGGGGAGUACGACCGCAAGGUUGAAACUCAAAGGAAUUGACGGGGACCCGCACAAGCGGUGGAGCAUGUGGUUUAAUUCGAAGCAACGCGAAGAACCUUACCAAAUCUUGACAUCCUUUGACAACUCUAGAGAUAGAGCCUUCCCCUUCGGGGGACAAAGUGACAGGUGGUGCAUGGUUGUCGUCAGCUCGUGUCGUGAGAUGUUGGGUUAAGUCCCGCAACGAGCGCAACCCUUAAGCUUAGUUGCCAUCAUUAAGUUGGGCACUCUAAGUUGACUGCCGGUGACAAACCGGAGGAAGGUGGGGAUGACGUCAAAUCAUCAUGCCCCUUAUGACUUGGGCUACACACGUGCUACAAUGGACAAUACAAAGGGCAGCGAAACCGCGAGGUCAAGCAAAUCCCAUAAAGUUGUUCUCAGUUCGGAUUGUAGUCUGCAACUCGACUACAUGAAGCUGGAAUCGCUAGUAAUCGUAGAUCAGCAUGCUACGGUGAAUACGUUCCCGGGUCU